GAUGAACGCUGGCGGCGUGCUUAACACAUGCAAGUCGAACGAAGCAUUUGCGACAGAUUUUUUCGGAAUGAAGUUGCUUAUGACUGAGUGGCGGACGGGUGAGUAACGCGUGGGUAACCUGCCUUGUACUGGGGGAUAGCAGCUGGAAACGGCUGGUAAUACCGCAUAAGCGCACAAUGUUGCAUGACAUGGUGUGAAAAACUCCGGUGGUAUAAGAUGGACCCGCGUCUGAUUAGCUAGUUGGUGAGAUAACAGCCCACCAAGGCGACGAUCAGUAGCCGACCUGAGAGGGUGACCGGACACAUUGGGACUGAGACACGGCCCAGACUCCUACGGGAGGCAGCAGUGGGGAAUAUUGCACAAUGGAGGAAACUCUGGUGCAGCGACGCCGCGUGAGUGAAGAAGUAAUUCGUUAUGUAAAGCUCUAUCAGCAGGGAAGAUAGUGACGGUACCUGACUAAGAAGCUCCGGCUAAAUACGUG
rnacentral:rRNA from 1 species